UUAAGUUAGAAAGGGCGCACGGUGGAUGCCUUGACACUAGGAGUCGAUGAAGGACGGGACUAACGCCGAUAUGCUUCGGGGAGCUGUAAGUAAGCUUUGAUCCGAAGAUUUCCGAAUGGGGAAACCCACUAUACGUAAUGGUAUGGUAUCCUUACCUGAAUACAUAGGGUAUGGAAGACAGACCCAGGGAACUGAAACAUCUAAGUACCUGGAGGAAGAGAAAGCAAAUGCGAUUUCCUGAGUAGCGGCGAGCGAAACGGAAUCUAGCCCAAACCAAGAGGCUUGCCUCUUGGGGUUGUAGGACAUUCUAUACGGAGUUACAAAGGAACGAGGUAGACGAAGCGACCUGGAAAGGUCCGUCGUAGAGGGUAACAACCCCGUAGUCGAAACUUCGUUCUCUCUUGAAUGUAUCCUGAGUACGGCGGAACACGUGAAAUUCCGUCGGAAUCUGGGAGGACCAUCUCCCAAGGCUAAAUACUCCCUAGUGAUCGAUAGUGAACCAGUACCGUGAGGGAAAGGUGAAAAGCACCCCGGAAGGGGAGUGAAAGAGAUCCUGAAACCGUGUGCCUACAAAUAGUCAGAGCCCGUUAAUGGGUGAUGGCGUGCCUUUUGUAGAAUGAACCGGCGAGUUACGAUCCCGUGCGAGGUUAAGUUGAAGAGACGGAGCCGCAGCGAAAGCGAGUCUGAAUAGGGCGUUUAGUACGUGGUCGUAGACCCGAAACCAGGUGAUCUACCCAUGUCCAGGGUGAAGUUCAGGUAACACUGAAUGGAGGCCCGAACCCACGCACGUUGAAAAGUGCGGGGAUGAGGUGUGGGUAGCGGAGANAGAGCACUGAUUGAACUAGGGGUCCUCAUCGGAUUACCGAAUUCAGUCAAACUCCGAAUGCCAAUGACUUAUCCUUAGGAGUCAGACUGCGAGUGAUAAGAUCCGUAGUCAAGAGGGAAACAGCCCAGAUCGCCAGCUAAGGUCCCAAAGUGUGUAUUAAGUGGAAAAGGAUGUGGAGUUGCUUAGACAACUAGGAUGUUGGCUUAGAAGCAGCCACCAUUUAAAGAGUGCGUAAUAGCUCACUAGUCGAGUGACUCUGCGCCGAAAAUGUACCGGGGCUAAAUACACCACCGAAGCUGCGAAUUGAUACCAAUGGUAUCAGUGGUAGGGGAGCGUUCUAAGUGCAGUGAAGUCAGACCGGAAGGACUGGUGGAGCGCUUAGAAGUGAGAAUGCCGGUAUGAGUAGCGAAAGACGGGUGAGAAUCCCGUCCACCGAAUGCCUAAGGUUUCCUGAGGAAGGCUCGUCCGCUCAGGGUUAGUCAGGACCUAAGCCGAGGCCGACAGGCGUAGGCGAUGGACAACAGGUUGAUAUUCCUGUACCACCUCUUUAUCGUUUGAGCAAUGGAGGGACGCAGAAGGAUAGAAGAAGCGUGCGAUUGGUUGUGCACGUCCAAGCAGUUAGGCUGAUAAGUAGGCAAAUCCGCUUAUCGUGAAGGCUGAGCUGUGAUGGGGAAGCUCCUUAUGGAGCGAAGUCUUUGAUUCCCCGCUGCCAAGAAAAGCUUCUAGCGAGAUAAAAGGUGCCUGUACCGCAAACCGACACAGGUAGGCGAGGAGAGAAUCCUAAGGUGUGCGAGAGAACUCUGGUUAAGGAACUCGGCAAAAUGACCCCGUAACUUCGGGAGAAGGGGUGCUUUCUUAACGGAAAGCCGCAGUGAAUAGGCCCAAGCGACUGUUUAGCAAAAACACAGGUCUCUGCGAAGCCGUAAGGCGAAGUAUAGGGGCUGACACCUGCCCGGUGCUGGAAGGUUAAGGAGAGGGGUUAGCGUAAGCGAAGCUCUGAACUGAAGCCCCAGUAAACGGCGGCCGUAACUAUAACGGUCCUAAGGUAGCGAAAUUCCUUGUCGGGUAAGUUCCGACCCGCACGAAAGGNNNNNNNNNNNNNNNNNNNNNNNNNNNNNNNNNNNNNNNNNNNNNNNNNNGUGAGAAGUGCGGCGAAUACAAGUAGCUCGGUUCUAGGAAACUUAAAAAAUGGUGAAAAAGUAACAGUACUAGGAAAAGUAAAUGGCUGGGCGAAAAUCAAUUACCAAGGAAAAGAAGGGUAUGUGUCGUUAGAGUUUAUAACGAUUGGUAAAGAUUCCAUAGAUCCAACAAACCCAACAAACCCUGGACAGGUAACAGAAGAACGAGCAGUUGUAAAUGCGUCUUUAUUAAAUGUACGUAAAGGUCCAUCAACAGGUGCGGCAGCUGUCGGUCAUUUGAAAAAUGGAGAGACUGUUACGAUCAUAGGAAAAGAAAAUGGCUGGGCAAAAAUCCGUUUUAAUGGCGGAGAGGGGUAUGUUUCGUUACAGUUCUUAAAAGUUAAACAAGGUUCGUCUUCUUAUGAAAUUGUUACCUCAUCACAAAAGGUUCAAAAACCAAAUGAAGCGGAAGCAACACAAAUUAUGCAGAAUAUGAAAGAAGAUGCUUACAUUAAAAGUGACGGUAAAGUUGUAAAUAUGAAGCAAGGUUUCGUUCGUGCAAAUGGUGUUAUUAAUAUUUAUGAUAUUACGACGGGUAAAAAGCUCACAUAUGUAAAGGGUGGAGCUGACCUGAAAUUUGUAAAAGCUGUUGAUGAUCGUAUUC
rnacentral:rRNA from 1 species